UCACAGCGACCUUCGUGGGAGUCAUUGCUGCUGGAAGCCUCUUGAAUAUUCCGGGGUUGCAAUGCCCUGAAGAAAAACUCUAUGAAAGUGAAUGUGCUGUACAACACGUGCUUCAGCUGGUCAGGAAACAAAAGCAUUUUCUCAAGGGCUGGCUGAGCGUUGUGUAAUCUCCUGCGUGCAUCUGUGGGCCCACAGCUGAAUGGGCGGCACAGAGAGGCACAAAGUGAGCCAACUAACAAGAGAACUGAAUUCUGUCCACCGUAUCUUGCCAUGGGCUUCAUUUUCAUUGCUUGCUCUUCAGGCCUUCUCCAUAUGCUGUCCACGUGGUUGUCACCCUGGUGUGGCCUGUGCUCCAG